ACACCUAUCGUCUAACGGUUAGGAUACAAGACUUUCAAUCUUGCGGUGUGGGUUCGAUUCCCACUAGGUGUACCA
rnacentral:tRNA from 1 species